AUUCAAAAGCCCUAAGUACCUGUUCCAAAUUGUUAUCAGUAAAUUAAUUAAACAAUGCGUCUUUCUGUAUAAAGAUAGACGAAGAAGCAAACAGUUGUGAAAGUAAGUAAUCGAUACGUUAUGCUCUGCAAUUCACAUAAGAUCAUGCAAUCUGGACACUAAUAAUCUUGAAUAGUCACAUAAAAGAGCACGAAACUAAACUGCAACCAUCAGAUUCCAACUGUCAAUUCAAGAAUUUAUCAGCAUGUUUACCCAUGCUUCCCACUUAUCCAAACCCACUUUAAUAUUCUUCUUCUCUCCAACCAAAAUACUUCGUCUAAAUUCUUAUAAAAUUCUUUUGUUAAAGCAAUUCUUAAAAUUAUAGUACUUUGUUUGAUUUUCUAUUGAUCAAGCCAAUGUUAUAAUUCAGAUUUGUGUGUAAUGACUUUCAUUAUCAUUUUUCUUAUUUUCAUGUAUUUUUGAUUUCUAGAGUAUUUUUAUAACUGUCUCAAGUUAUUUAUGAUUUGAUGCUGGUUGGGACUGAUAGUUCAAUUUUAGAACAGUUCGUUUGAGAAUUUUGAUGAUAUCAAAUAUAUUGUGAAAUAUUUAAUCUAAAUUGACAUUUAAUAGAAAUAAAAUUUAUUAUCCUUCUAAAAUGUUUUUAAUAUGCAUAAAAUUCUUUAGUUAUGUUAUAUCUACAUUGCUUUAUAAAUAGUUGGAUACUCUAUUAAUAUUUUAAGUGGAAAUGAUGAAUUUAAAUAUGUUAAAAAUACUAUUAUUAUAUAAUAGAAGUUUUGUUAGAUAGUUCUUUGUUAAUUAUGAUAUAUUCUAAAUAUUAUAUUGAUUUUACCACAAACCAACAUAAUAUCCAAAUAUAUAUUUAUAUAAUUAGAUAAGAUUGGUGUUGAGGUGUCACCUUCCUUCCACAUGGGAUUAAAGGAAGGUACAACACAAUAUAUUAAUUAAUGUUAUUCUAAUUAGUGGACAUGCCUAGGAAUAUUAAGUUAAUUAUAUAAUACGUGUCCAUUUCAAGUUUUCCUUUUUUUCCUUUUGCUAUAUCUUACAGAAUAUCAUUAUUACUCCAUUUAGCAUCUGUAGCAUAAGGUCAAGUCUCAUUAAGGAUAUACUUCAACAUAUACAAAAGAAUGAAAAGUUAGGGAAGAGCUCUUAUGGCGUUUUAAUUAAUCUGCAAAAUAAAAUCAGAACAUCAAGUUGUUCAAGCUUCAGUUGUAGUAGAACACUAUACAAAGGCUUCUCGAAGAAAUUUUUAGCUUUGAGCAUCCAGGUAUGUUAGAUUUAUCUUAUUUUUAGAUUUUAUUAUUUACGGUAAUUGUGUGUUCUUAUGCUAGUCUUGUACAGGUGAUUGUAGUUUUUGUAUCAUUUGGUAUAGAUAUCAUGUCUUAAUUAUCUAAUUAGGAUCACGUUCCAGUAAAGUUCUAUUUAGUUAACUCUUAAUAUGAUGUGGUAUUUAAGUUGUGAAAUCUUGGAUUCAUCCUUAAUUAAGAAAGUUACUCGAAAGGUUAUUUAAAUAUAUUUUAACUAGGAUUUAUGGUCAACAUAUAUUAUAUUUAUGUCAUUUAUUGUUAAAUUUGGUAAUAUUGUGGCAUCGAUCACAGUAUGAUUUGGGUUUCAAUUUUACAGUUGGAUAUGAUUACUACAAGUUUCGGUUUGAGUUUGGCAUCUUGUUAUGAUAUUAUGUGGGAGUUCUGGUACUAAUUACAAUUGUUCUAGGAGUUGUGGCUCCUCAAAGUUUCGGUUUGAGUCCGGUAUUUGAUUAUGAGUUUUGUCGUAUAUCUUGUAGGUGGUCUCUCAUUAUUACCCACAAUGUUUUAUUUGAAUCCAGCAUAUAACCUCUUGUUAUUAUCCACCACUACCGGUUCAAUCUUGGUGUCUGGCCUCUCGUUACUACCCAUUGGUGUUGGUUUGAGCCUGUGCACAUCUGGAAGGCUAAUAUGGUUUCAUGGGAUUGAUUCAGCUAUGAAUUAUUUAUAUUUUUCUUUAAAAUUACUUCUUGUGUGUUCCACUAGCUUAUGGGGGCACGUUGGGUUAGUUUUCUUUUUUACUGUCUGGUGGGCUUAUGGGAACCAGUUAGUUAAUGUUUAGUUUGCCUUUUAUCAUUACAUUAUUUAUCUUUCUGUAUCACUUUUACUUAAGCCUUUAUUUCAUUUGUGUAGAUCGAUAGUUCUUUACUUUUCUAUCCCUAUUUAUUAUUGACUUAGAUUACAUGUGUGCGUUUUAGCUAGACUUUUUUUGUAUAGAGACUAGUCGGCG
rnacentral:lncRNA from 1 species